ensembl:lncRNA
GUCGUGUUGGCUGCCUGCUGGGGAGUGAGGAGAUCUGCUUUCACUCCGCUGCCCCACAUAUUUCCUGCUGGCUGGACGCCUUGUGAUUCUGCGAGUAGACACGCCUGCCGUAGUUCGACAUCAUAAGCAGGAGCAGCAGAGGAUGCCAGGCAGCUCUCCUGAGAAACAAUUAGCUGUGAACUUCAGAGGAGAACAAUGAUUAGCAUUAACCUCGUUUGGACCGCUGCGCUAAUUAGAGGCUCCGCAAAACAAGAGUGAGAGGCCGCCAUAUGCUCCGUCCGACAGCCACUCCAGAGCGUCACAACCGGGAGCCUCGUCCCUACAGUGGCUCCCUCCCAAAGCCUUCUGCUCACCUUGAGCCAAAUCAUACAAAAGCCCCUUCCUGUAACCAAUAUUAACUGAAUGUGCGUCAUGCUGUGCUUUUAUGGUUGCACAACACAUGCAAAGAAUGAGCUACGCUGGAAUAAUGCAAUCCAAAAACAAAAAAAAGAGGGAAAACGUUUGGUGAAACUAACUGUAAAUGGCAAAGAACCCAGUAAAGGGAACAAGAGAUGGAAGAUAGCAAAGAGGCAUCCCAAUAAAACGGUGUAUAAGAAGUGAUUUUAAACUUGAUACUUGCUCUGACAGCGAGUUCCUCGGGCAAAAGAGCCGGUAGGGGCCCUGACGGCAGAAGCACCGAUCACAUCUUAAGUCUCCAUGGGGGGGAGCAAAAAGAGCUUGAGCUGAGACUUGCAGAAAGCUCGCAGGCUCCUAAAAGGGCAACAGCUUUAACAAUACGUGGGGACCAGGUGCAAAGCAAAAGAUACAAUCUUUGCAUCCAAAACAAAGAAACACUACAAGUCAGUUGAAUCUGGAAGAUGUGGUCCUAUUGCAUGUAACUGCAGUCCAAAUAAAAUGCAUUGUAUGCAUGCAUUAAAUGCAUCACAAUUGGGUCAAUUAACAGUGUGUGAAAACUUAAAUAUCCACUUUGGCUGCCUUUAACGAUUAUUGGCUUUAACGCUGGUUCACUUCAAUAAAUGACUAAUGCCUUCAAAGUGUCUCUAAUCAAUAUUUUAUAUAAAGAAUAGACUGAUUGUAUUGACAGG